AAUAUGAUGAAAUUAUCCUCACAAUUUUUUUUGACAAGCAUAUGUCUGAAUUAAUGAAGAUAUAUAAAGUAUAUUGUCUGAUUU